UACGAAGGGGGCUAGCGUUGCUCGGAAUUACUGGGCGUAAAGCGCACGUAGGCGGAUAUUUAAGUCAGGGGUGAAAUCCCAGAGCUCAACUCUGGAACUGCCUUUGAUACUGGGUAUCUCGAGUAUGGAAGAGGUGAGUGGAAUUCCGAGUGUAGAGGUGAAAUUCGUAGAUAUUCGCAAGAACACCAGUGGCGAAGGCGGCCAACUGGUCCGAUACUGACGCUGAGGCGCGAAAGCGUGGGGAGCAAACAGG
rnacentral:rRNA from 1 species